rnacentral:rRNA from 1 species
GACGAACGCUGGCGGCGUGCUUAACACAUGCAAGUCGAGCGGAAAGGCCACUUCGGUGGUACUCGAGCGGCGAACGGGUGAGUAACACGUGAGUAAUCUGCCCCUGGCUUUGGGAUAGCCACCGGAAACGGCGAUUAAUACCGGAUACGACAACAUCUCGCAUGGGAUGGCUGUGGAAAGAUUUUCGGCCAGGGAUGUGCUCGCGGCCUAUCAGCUUGAUGGUGAGGUAAUGGCUCACCAUGGCUUCGACGGGUAGCCGGCCUGAGAGGGUGACCGGUCACACUGGGACUGAGACACGGCCCAGACUCCUACGGGAGGCAGCAGUGGGGAAUAUUGGACAAUGGGCGGAAGCCUGAUCCAGCAACGCCGCGUGAGGGAUGACGGCCUUCGGGUUGUAAACCUCUUUCGCCUGUGACGAAGCGCAAGUGACGGUAACAGGUAAAGAAGCACCGGCCAACUACGUGCCAGCCGCCGCGGUAACAC